rnacentral:rRNA from 1 species
AUUGAACGCUGGCGGCAUGCCUUACACAUGCAAGUCGAACGGCAGCGGGGGAGAAGCUCGCUUUUCCUGCCGGCGAGUGGCGAACGGGUGAGUAAUACAUCGGAACGUGCCCUGUAGUGGGGGAUAACUAGUCGAAAGAUUAGCUAAUACCGCAUACGACCUGGGGGUGAAAGUGGGGGACCGCAAGGCCUCAUGCUAUAGGAGCGGCCGAUGUCUGAUUAGCUGGUUGGUGGGGGAAAGGCCGACCAAGGCGACGAUCAGUAGCUGGUCUGAGAGGACGGUCAGCCACACUGGGACUGAGACACGGCCCAGACUCCUACGGGAGGCAGCAGUGGGGAAUUUUGGACAAUGGGCGAAAGCCUGAUCCAGCAAUGCCGCGUGUGUGAAGAAGGCCUUCGGGUUGUAAAGCACUUUUGUCCGGAAAGAAAUGGCUCUGGUUAAUACCCAAGAUGAGUGGACGUUACUCGCAGAAUAAGCACCGGCUAACUCUGUGCCAGCCGCCGCGGUAA